GCUGUGAUGGCCGAGUGGUUGUGAAGGCGUUGGACUUGAAACUCAAUGGGGUCUCCCUGCGCAGGUUCAAACCCUGCUCACAGCG